CUCAUCUCAGGGAUCAGAAACAUAGUCCCGGCCAGCAACUUGCUCCUUGUUGAAACAGAACAGAACAGAAGCAAGCAACAAGAACACAACAAUGAUGGAUUGUCAGGCUAAUUUUGUGUUGAAAGUAAAUUUCUGCACGGACCUGGAGGCAGGAAGAGGUCACACCUGGCCCUGUGUCUACUGUACUCUAGGUGUGGAGCUACUGUCAGUCACAGGCACACCUUGGCCAAAUUACACACAGGUUCGUGACUUUAAUGAAAGUGACAGCCAAUUCCUCCCUCCCUUUUUGGAUACAUUACAAGCUAUUUGUAGAGAUGAAAUUUUGUUUCAUUUAAUUUAUAUGGAAGCUCUCACUCUUCAUACUCAAAAAGACAUUUAAAGAAAUUCUGACUUUUAACAAUAAAAGCAACUAAAUGGAGCAUGGACUGAAACUAUUCAUCUUUGACAGCCUGGCUGCUUGCAGAACCACACCAGAAGUAUUAAACCAAAAACACCAUUUCAAACUAACAGCAAAUGGGCUGCUAUUCAUGCUUGCCAAAACUCUCUUGGUCCAAGCAAUUCUACACAUCUCUGAGGCAAAGAAAAAUUCAAGAUAAAGGCAAUGAGAGAAGAGAAAACAUAAACCACACUAAGAGAAGGGAAGAGAGAUGCAUGAGAUUAGCGAAGUUCAGAGGGCCUGCAUCUUCACCAAUACAAAAUGAUGCAAUGGCAGAGACUGCUACAUUUUCAGUCAAUUUCUAACCAAUUUCUUAGCUCUUCGUGGAUGUGUAGCUCAACAUUAAGCCCAGUUUCUGAAACGUCACAGCAAAGCAACCAGACAGUUAAUACCCCACCAAGAAGAAACCAUAACAAACUGAGGGCAUUUAUCCUCCUUACUGCCUACCAGCUCUGUCCUUGACCCCGAAAGACCAAUUUUGAACAAAUAGUAAAUUCUGGAAGACAAUAUGGAAAGAUCAUUCAUUCAUUCAGCAGCAGAGAAGCCCAAGCAAAAAGAAACAUUUAGAAAGGGCAAGAUGUGCUAAAUUUGAUCGACAGGUUGCAGCAUCUUGAUAGCUGUUAUCUUUUUUGCAAGAUUUGCAAAAGCAUUCCUCUACUCCUGGUCAUCCCCAGGCAUCCAGCCCUUCACUUCCUGAAAUCUACAACUGUUGUGGAUGUGGCCAUCUAUUGCUAGUCCCCAGGAGUCUAAACAGCAAGUUAGCGACAUGGUGCUUGAAGGAAUCAGGGAUAAACAAACCAGGCUUCAGGUUAAGUCAACAAAAGUAUUCUCACUAUUGCUGAAAAGCCUCGUCACCAUAUUCUCUUGACACGGAGAAUCUGUAAGAGCUCUAAUGGAUUUCCUGAAUGAAGGAAACUCUCUGCUGCAGGCCAAACACAAUUUUUGAUUAACAUCCAAACAACUAGUCUAUCAUGAACACCCAGAUGGUUUCUGGUAAAGAAAUUCUUUCAUUUCCUUUUGGUUUCUAAUAAAAAAAUAAAGAAUUGAAUAACAUGUUUGGAUAAUGUUGCUUAUUGUCAAACCUGUGGAUCUGAGUUUGAUCCCCAGAUCUCCCAUGGUAGAAGGAGAAAGCCACCAAUUCUUCCAAGUUCUCCUCUGACCUCCAGACAUGUGGUAUGUAAACAUUUAUGACAUGC
ensembl:lincRNA